rnacentral:rRNA from 1 species
GACGAACGCUGGCGGCGUGCUUAACACAUGCAAGUCGAACGGAAAGGCCCUGCUUGCAGGGUACUCGAGUGGCGAACGGGUGAGUAACACGUGGGUGAUCUGCCCUGCACUUCGGGAUAAGCCUGUGAAACUGGGUCUAAUACCGGAUAGGAGCCAUUUUUAGUGUGAUGGUUGGAAAGUUUUUUCGGUGUAGGAUGAGCUCGCGGCCUAUCAGCUUGUUGGUGGGGUAAUGGCCUACCAAGGCGGCGACGGGUAGCCGGCCUGAGAGGGUGGACGGCCACAUUGGGACUGAGAUACGGCCCAGGCUCCUACGGGAGGCAGCAGUGGGGAAUAUUGCACAAUGGGCGCAAGCCUGAUGCAGCGACGCCGCGUGGGGGAUGACGGCCUUCGGGUUGUAAACUCCUUUCGCUAGGGACGAAGCUUUUUGUGACGGUACCUAGAUAAGAAGCCCCGGCUAACUACGUG